CAACUACUCCCUCUGUCCCAAAUUUCUUGUCUUAGAUUUGUCUAGAUGCAGAUGUAUCUAAUACUAAAAUGUGACUUGAUACAUCCGUAUCUAGACAAAUCUAAGACAAGAAUUUUGGGACGGAGGGAGUACUUU
rnacentral:pre_miRNA from 1 species